UCAAGCAUGUAAGAGCGUAGGGUGGAUGCCUUGGCACUAAGAGCCGAUGAAAGACGUGAUAAGCUGCGAUAAGCUUCGGGGAGGAGCAAAUAUCCUUUGAUCCGGAGAUUUCUGAAUGGGGAAACCCACUUGAGCAAACCUCAAGUAUCCAUACGCCAAUUCAUAACGUAUGGAAGGGAACCCGGGGAACUGAAACAUCUAAGUACCCGGAGGAAAAGAAAGAAACAUCGAUUUCCUGAGUAGCGGCGAGCGAAAGGGAAGGAGCCUAAACUGCGGUGCGUGCACUGCAGGGUUAAGGACUGCAAUAAGUUAUACUCAGAGUUACCAGAACGGUAUUGGGAAAGCCGGCCAGAGAGGGUGAAAGCCCCGUAUGGGAAAACGAAGAGGGACAAGCAGUAUCCAAAGUACCACGAGACACGAGAAACCUUGUGGGAAGUCGGGGGGACCACCCCCCAAGGCUAAAUACUCCUUAGUGACCGAUAGCGCAUAGUACUGUGAAGGAAAGGUGAAAAGGACCCCGGGAGGGGAGUGAAAGAGAACCUGAAACCCUAUGUUUACAAGCUGUGGGAGCGCGCAAGCGCAACCGCGUACUUUUUGUAGAACGGUCCGGCGAGUUGCCGGUGCUGGCAAGGUUAAGCGAUCAAGUCGUGGAGCCGCAGGGAAACCAAGCCUAAAUAGGGCCAAAGUCAGCACAGGCAGACCCGAAACCGGGUGAUCUACCCAUGUCCAGGAUGAAGCGGGAGUAAAAUCCCGUGGAGGUCCGAACGCACAUCCGUUGAAAAGGGUGGCGAUGAGGUGUGGGUAGGGGAGAAAUUCCAAUCGAACCCGGAGAUAGCUGGUUCUCCUCGAAAUAGCUUUAGGGCUAGCCUCGGUGCAAUCUGCUGGAGGUAGGGCACUGAAUUCCCGCGGGGGCGUCAAAGCCUACCAAAGGAUAUCAAACUGCGAAUGCCAGACAGAUGAUCACCGGGAGUCAGACCACACGAGAUAAGUUGGGUGGUCAAAAGGGAAAGAGCCCAGACCUGCAGCUAAGGUCCCAAAGUGCGUGUUAAGUGGAAAAGGAUGUGGGAUCUCGAAGACAACUAGGAUGUUGGCUCAGAAGCAGCCAUACAUUCAAAGAGUGCGUAAUAGCUCACUAGUCGAGAGGUCCUGCGCCGAAAAUGAACCGGGGCUAAACACGACACCGAAGCUCAGGAAUCCGAAAGGAUUGGUAGAGGAGCAUUGCUGAAGCGACGAAGCAGUACCGGAAGGAGCUGUGGAGUUUCAGGAAGAGAGAAUGCCGGAAUGAGUAGCGAGAGAAAGGUGAGAAUCCUUUCGGCCGAAUAUCCAAGGUUUCCAGGGUAAAGCUGAUCUGCCCUGGGUAAGUCGGGGCCUAAGGCGAGGCAGAAAUGCGUAGUCGAUGGACAGCAGGUUGAGAUUCCUGCACCCGUAAUGAACAGAACUGUAGUGACACGGAAGGUAAGACAGAGCCGGGAAUGAGAAAACCGGUGCAAGCACAAUAGAUGUGNCGAAAAAGAGUAGGGAAGCUGUUAAGCAAGCCGUCAAGAAAAGCUGCUAUUGUUUCAUUAUGGCCCGUACCGUAAACCGACACAGGUGGAUGGGGAGAGAAUCCUAAGGCCGGCGGAAGAAGUAUUGUUAAGGAACUCGGCAAAAUGACCCCGUAACUUCGGGAGAAGGGGUGCCUGCGAGAGCAGGCCGCAGAGAAGAGGCCCAAGCAACUGUUUAGCAAAAACACAGGUCUAUGCAAAACCGAAAGGUGAGGUAUAUGGGCUGACGCCUGCCCGGUGCUGGAAGGUUAAGGGGAGUGGUCAGGAAACGAAGCCACGAACUUAAGCCCCAGUAAACGGCGGCCGUAACUAUAACGGUCCUAAGGUAGCGAAAUUCCUUGUCGGGUAAGUUCCGACCCGCACGAAAGGCGUAAUGAUUUGGGCGCUGUCUCGACAAUACAUCCGGUGAAAUUGAAGUGCCAGUGAAGAUGCUGGCUACCUGCGCCAGGACGGAAAGACCCCAUGGAGCUUUACUCCAGCUUGAUACUGGGACCCGGUAUUGCAUGUACAGGAUAGGUGGGAGGCUAGGAAAUGUGGACGCCAGUCUGCAUGGAGCCGCUGUUGGGAUACCACCCUUGUGGUGCUGGGUUUCUAACCAGAGGCCGUGAACCGGUCUGGGGACAAUGUCAGGUGGGGAGUUUGACUGGGGCGGUCGCCUCCGAAAGGGUAUCGGAGGCGCCCAAAGGUUCCCUCAGAAUGGUUGGAAACCAUUCGAAGAGUGCAAAGGCAGAAGGGAGCUUGACUGCGACACCGACGGGUGGAGCAGGUACGAAAGUAGGGCUUAGUGAUCCGGUGGAAUUUAAGUGGGAAUGCCAUCGCUCAACGGAUAAAAGCUACCCUGGGGAUAACAGGCUGAUCACUCCCAAGAGUUCACAUCGACGGAGUGGUUUGGCACCUCGAUGUCGGCUCAUCGCAUCCUGGGGCUGAAGUCGGUCCCAAGGGUUGGGCUGUUCGCCCAUUAAAGCGGUACGCGAGCUGGGUUCAGAACGUCGUGAGACAGUUCGGUCCCUAUCCGGCGUGGGCGUAGGAUAUCUGAGAGGAGCUGUCCUUAGUACGAGAGGACCGGGAUGGACUGACCUCUGGUGUACCGGUUGGCGAUCAACGCCACGGCCGGGUAGCCAUGUCGGGACGGGAUAAACGCUGAAGGCAUCUAAGCGUGAAGCCCCCCUCAAGAUGAGAUAUCCCAUCGUAAGAGUAAGACCCCUUGAAGACGACGAGGUUGAUAGGGCAGGGGUGGAAGUGCCGUAAGGCAUGGAGCUGACUGCUACUAAUCGGUCGAGGGCUUGACCAA
rnacentral:rRNA from 1 species